CCCCCUAUCUCUAGAUGCUCUCUCUCUCCUCUCUCUCUAUAUUCUCUUUAAAAACCUUACAACCGUUGCCUCUCCUUUUUUGGUGAGCCCACGCCGGUGACACCUUCCCUGAGUCUGCCACUGCACCAGCCAUGGUGCCUUCACCAACAAUGGACAGAACCCAACCUCACUGCCUCACCUCUUUCUCCGGCAAAACCACCGCCAGCAGCCCUCAAAACUAUUGAAACUCGCCUCCAAUAGCAAUGACUAGCGACGACCUACCUCUGUCCUUCCAGAUCUGCUAUCGCCAUCAACAACCCUCUCUGCCUCCAUGCAACUAGCCUCCUAUCGCUGAUCGGAGCUACCACUCCAGCGUCGCCCCCGAUCUUACCCUUCCCUGCAUUGGUAAAACAGCGACGAGCAUCCCCCUCUCUAGCCGUGAUUCAACCCCCUUCUAGUCCAUUCUUCGACCAAACAGCGGCUAGACAGCCAUCCCACUGCACCAUUGUCACCCCCACCUUCUGCCAGUACCACCAAUGACCUCUAUUUGGCCUAAUUCGACACGAGAUUUUGAAGAGUCGCCCGGAGAUAGGGAGAGGAUUGUUGUUUAAUUCUCUUCUUUAAUCUGGCUAUCACUUAUGUUGUAAUACCCUCUGUAAAAUGUUAUUAUUAAUGUAAUAAUAAUUUGGGGACUACUUUGGGGGGCGA